rnacentral:rRNA from 2 species
GAGCGGAUGAUGGGAGCUUGCUCCUGGAUUCAGCGGCGGACGGGUGAGUAAUGCCUAGGAAUCUGCCUGGUAGUGGGGGACAACGUUUCGAAAGGAACGCUAAUACCGCAUACGUCCUACGGGAGAAAGCAGGGGACCUUCGGGCCUUGCGCUAUCAGAUGAGCCUAGGUCGGAUUAGCUAGUUGGUGGGGUAAAGGCUCACCAAGGCGACGAUCCGUAACUGGUCUGAGAGGAUGAUCAGUCACACUGGAACUGAGACACGGUCCAGACUCCUACGGGAGGCAGCAGUGGGGAAUAUUGGACAAUGGGCGAAAGCCUGACCCAGCCAUGCCGCGGGUGUGAAGAAGGUCUUCGGAUUGUAAAGCACUUUUCGUGGUGAGUCGGGCAGUAAGCUAGUACCUUGCUGUGUUCACGUUCCCGACAAAUUAAGUACGGUUUAACUCUGUGCCAGCACCCGCGGUAUACCGACUUUGCAAGCGUUAUCCGAAAUAAUAGCCCUAAAGUGCGCGUAGGUGGUUUGUAAGUUGCUGUGAAACCCCGGGUAACCAGCAACUGAUUCCAAACUGGCA